AUGCCCCUUUCCAUGGCUCAGCACCAUCGGACCAGAGUGUAUCCAUGGACUACUUGGGUACCGCAGAAACCAGAGAAUCUGAAGGAAGGACCAGGAGGUGUCCUGGUGAGCAUGCACUCAGGACAAAGGGCACAAGGUCAUUUGGAGAAAUACUUCCCUCAGCCCAGGGAAAAUUCUGGUGAGUUAGUCCUAUUCCACAGAAAAGAAAUUAAUAAUGUGAAGAGAGGAACUGAAACGUGCUCCCUCCCAGACAAGAAUAAGGGAGGAGCAAUUUGGCCUGUAGAACGUUUCAUGACACUUAGGGAGGGGUUCAAGAAGGAAAAUGUAGUAAGGCCAUAAAGUAUUACCUUUCAAAGAGCUCAGUAUAACUUACGUUAAUGGGAAUAACAUAAAUUUCCAAUAGAAACAGAUGGGUUUAUGUUUAAAUUUUUGUGUGUGUGUGUGUGGAAUUGAAAUAUUUUUGAUUUUAGAGCCUCUGGGAGAAACAACUGCAGCUUCUUUCCUCAGUGAAUACUGAGCUAGAUAUUCCUUUCUGCAGUUUCACUAACUCAACAAAGCAACAAAAAUCACUGACAUUCAAAGCUAAAAGUAGUAAAGUUGUGAGACUGAAGAAGGGGGAGAACACUUACCUAAAGAGGAGGGCCUGAUCUUGAGAAAAAGGAGAGUGGGGGUAGAUUCUCUCAGUGAUAGCAUUGGAAGGUGGGAGUGUGAAAGGUUGUGGCAAGUCAAGAAACAGGAGAGGUAGGGAACAAGGGGUGAAAGUAGAGUGCCUUUGGAAGAUUUGGAGAACAUCCAAAUGUUGGAUGGAUAACCCCAGCCCUGGCCACCUUGCCCUGGUUGGUACUGAGAAGAAUAAAGUAGCUGACUAGAGGCAAAUAUUGAGUUUCCCCUACCUUUACCUUAGCCAUCCUGCCGCGGAACUCUCUGACUUUGGAAUAGUCACUGAAAGACUCUAAGAACCAUUGAAGCUUUCAUCCAAGUCCAGAUUAUGUUUGUUGUAGGGAAGAUCUGAUCAGACUGUAACUAAACAGAUAGAAGAAAUCUUUCAGCCUUAAAUGCCUUAAAAGCUUUAAUUCAAACUCACUUAAAGGGGAAUUUGUUGAUUUAUAUAAUAAAAUUAUCCAUUGUCUUCAAGUGUGACUUUACGGGUUCAAAUCUCUUACCAGGACCCAAAUGUCUCCUGCCCUCCUUUGGCUAUCUGUGUUUUCUGAACAAGUGGCCCCUCAGUUCCAGGUUCACAUUUGCCCUAUUUCAAGUCUAGUGGAAUAACUUACCACUUCCUGAUAGUUGCACUGCAGGUUCUGGGUUCCUUUUUGUGUGGCCAUGCCUGGUCCAUUCUUACUGCUCUACAUGGGACAUAGGGAGCUUUGGCUCUGAGAUCAGACUUGGCUUCAUUGCUAAUAACUGGGCUGGACACGGAAAAGGCUGGUUUCCCAAAAGUCGGUUACUUGAAGAAUGAGGAGUGGAUGCAGGGUAGGAGCAAACAUCAAUAGCCAUUGCACUCCCCUCCAGAGACAUGGAUGGCUAGAAGGCUUACUAUAAUUGUGGAGUACCUGGUGGAAGACUUGUCUAACUGCAGAGUAAAUGGUAAACUGGAUAGUCAGUAAAGUCUAGCUCCCCAACUUGCCCCUCUUUACAGAAUUGCUGAGAACAAACUCUGUGGGACAGGAAAAAAAGCCAAC
rnacentral:lncRNA from 1 species